GGCGGAGUAGCUCAAUUGGCGAGAGCGCGCGGCCCAUAACCGCGAGGUUCAGGGUUCGAUCCCCUGCUCCGCCA
rnacentral:tRNA from 1 species